rnacentral:lncRNA from 1 species
CCAUUUUAUUUGCAUGUCCUUACUGUAGGCCUCUGCGGCAGGGGCCGUAUUGAGGUUCCCGUCAGCAAUAUUAAAUCAACAAGCACAAGAAAGAUAUUGUCAUGAGGAACCUUAAUACAGUCCUUGUCGUGGAGGCCUGCAGUGGGGAUAUGUAGGUGGAAUGGGAAAGGGUGAAAAUAAUGGAACCUUUGGCGGGGAGGUCUCGGGUGCUGAUAGCUGAAGCUUUGGAGGUCCUGAGGGUGAGGGGCAAUGGGCGGGUCCUCAAUGGGGGGCCAGCGGUGGAAGUGCUGCAUGAAUGGGCAUAUUUCCUUGGAGGGUCAAAAGAGGCAAAGAGGACAACUGCAUAGCUGCCACCAUGAGAAAGUGUUGGGUGUGCUUCGUGAUGUGGGUAGUUUGCGACAUCAUUUUUUUAUAUGUAAUGUAUUUCAUUUGUUUUUUAUUUACCUAUUUAUCCCG